AGAGGAGCUGCAGAGACAAAAUGAAAACCUAGAGAAGAUAAUUGCACAACUCCAAGAGCAAAAGGAAAGGAGAGAAGAUUUUCCUGUAACAGAACAACUGCAGAGAGAAAUUGCCCAACUCAAGGAGGAAAAGGGGAACUUGGAGAAGAGAAUAAAAGAACUACAGGAGGAAAAGG